AGGGCCGUGAGAACGGGGCGAGGUCUCGCAUCUCUCAUGAAGGAGCUUCAGAAGCAUAAACGGAGAAGCGGCAACAGUGAAGGCGGGACGGCACCAGGGGAGAGACUGUCCGAUUAAAUCAGCCUCUGUUCCUUGCCACUGAGCGCUGGGAUCCAGGGGAGGGUCUUUGCCUAACACUCCAUGAAAACACUCCAUUCAGAAGCCAUUAAAGUCUACGCCUGUGUUAAACUCCUCCACCAGAGAACAGCAGGUUAAAGGGAAGGGAGGAGCUGAUUAUCACAGAGAAGGCAUUUGUUACACACAUAUAUCAGCGCUUGCCUUAGAGGCCAACAGUUGGAUUAAAGCACAGGAAUGUCAAAAGCAAACAUAAGAUUUGUUGCCAAUUUAUACUGUUGGACUUUUCUUGAAAAAAAUGACUAUGUUAAAGACCCCAUGACAUGUCUCGAACAAGCACUUUUUUGUAUCCUGUGUUGAAAUAUGCUUUGGUACUUAGUCAUUGCAGAUUAUAUUAGGGGAAGGACAAUCUCAUUAAUUAAAAAUUAUACAUUUUAGUGUUGUCACGA